UUGAGUAUUAAACUAGGUAGAAAAAUUUUGGAUAUAAAAAAAAUUAGGGCACUUCUCCUAAAUAGAUUCUUUUGAGUUUUUGUCUCAAAAAUAGACUUUGAAAUGGAAGAUCACUUAAAUAACCUUCAUUAACUGUUCAAAAGACUUUAAUACCCUCAAUUAAUAAUAUAUCAAACAAAACAAAAAGAAACGAAAAAAAACUCGUCUUAUCUAGCUUGUCAACGUUCUCUAUCGCUCGACGGUUACGACGUCUGCCAUCGAUACGCCGGAGACAAAUCGAACCACUAUGUCACAGUCUUUACAAUCAAAAUAGGAAUCUAUAGAUGUAAGUUCUGAAUGUUUUCUCUUCAAAAUCGAAAUCAGGGGUUUUGAUUGAAAAUUUAAGAAUUUUCUCUUCUUAGUGUUUUUGAAUUGAAAAUUAGGGGUUUCGAUUUGUUGUUCUUCUGAUAAUAGAUUUGAACUUGUUUUUGUUGUUCAAAUCCAACAGAGAGAACAUAAUCAGAAUUACAAAGAAGGAAUCUCAUGAAGCUUCAUUUACAGAAUCAAUUGGCUUACCGAAGAAGUUGAGUUCGUGACCUUGCUUUUUGGUAAGCCAUUUUGAAUCUUUGAUGUUCCUAGUUUGUUUUGACCAAUGAUUUAUUUCUCUCAGAUUCGAAUUUUUUUAAGUCUGAUUGCGUGAUAUGAUAUCGUUUCAAACAUGUGUGUGUCGAUGUAUUAGUUCUCUUGUUCCUCUAAAAAUUGUAUCUUUUUCUUGUUAAGAACACACAUGAAAAUUAUUGCUUUUUCUUGUUCUUGUUAUUCGCAAGUGUAAUGUGCCUCAUUAAACUGAUUGGUACUGUUUGUAGCUGAAGAGAAACAUCAUUACCCGAGAAGUUGUUCUGGUAAAGAGAAAGCUCUGUUGCGUUUGUUGCCAGCGAGGGAAAGGGGCUUGGAAGUUCUUGGAGCUCAAAUCAAAGGCUGCUUAGUUGGUACCUUCGACUAUGUUGUUUGCCAGAUAUAGUUGAGUUACAUCAGAUGCUAUUUUCGAGAACCAGCUGUGUGGUAUUUUUAGUUGUUUGGUUUACGUAUGUUUGCUUGUGCUUGUGAAACUGUCUAGUGUUUUUUAACUUUCAGGAAGAAUUUGGGUAGUUUUAGGAAAGCUUUCCCGAAAAUCCGAUGUUAACAAAUUUUAAACUUUUUACGCAUGUUGAUAUCUUUAGUAGGCUCAUGAAUUUGCUUAUGACAUUGUUAGUCUCUUGUUGCUUGUGCUUGUGAAACUGUGUUGUGUUUUAAAAAUUUCAGGAAGGAUUUGUGUAGUUUCAGGAAAGCUUUCCCAAAAAUCUGAUGGUAACAAAUUUGAUUUUUUUUUUUUUUGCUUGGUUACGCAGGAUAGUAACAAGAUGAGAGAGUAACAAGAUGAGAGAUUCAUUACCUCUCAAACUAGCACUGCCUGGGCUGAAGUACCCUAUUGGUUCAGAACCAAAAGAAAGAUUGUCAAUAAACCAACAUUCAAACAAUAAAAAUAAAAUAUUGGUACUUACAUCAUUAUAAACAUGUUUUUCCAGGAUGCUACAGAGCCUUUGACUGUUAUCAUUUCGCCAAACAAUAAAAAGGUAAACACAAGUAAUUUUUGUAUGCUUUUGUACGUGUUCAUGAUCUCCUUCCUGAUUUUUUUUUGCAUAUGGAAACAGAGGCAACAAAUGAGAAACUUGCCUUUCCAUAGCUCAACCGAGUACUGAGACUCCAUUUUUUAUUCCAAAUCAGACGCAACAGUCAAUGAAUGAGACACCUGCCUCUCCAAUAGCUCAACCGAGUAUUGAGACUCUAGUUUUUACUCCAAAUCAGACGCAAGAGCUAUAUGCUCAAAAUAUUGAAGUUUUCAAGUAAUUUUUGGAAGAUUUUGUACGUGUUCAUGAUCGCCUUCCUGAGUUUUACAGAACGAGGUGGAGCCAUCAUAUGAGACGCCAUCCAAGCCGAAUCAAGCAAAAGAAAAUCUUGACGAUGAGGUCAAAUGUAUUCUUAAAUUAUAGUUGAAUGUAUUUUAGAAGAAGAACUAUUGGUAUCUAUAUCAUUAUGAAUAUGUUUUUCCAGGAUACUAUAGAGUUUUUGACUGAGAUCAUUUCAACAAACAAUGAAAAGGAAAAUACACAAGCUUUGGAUAACCCACAUGCCCCUACAAUGUCCACACCAAUUCUUGAUCAAAAUCAGAAUGCUGAUGCUGAGACACAGACUGGAUCUCAAGUUCUUCCACCUAAAGUGACACAACAAGGCCUUCCUGAUUGUUGCAGCAAGUACCAAUUUUUUUUUCGUCAGAGAGAGGGAGAGAGAGAGAGAAAGAGAGAGAGCCAUCGGAUGAGAUGCCAUCCCAGCCGAAUCAAGCAGAAGAAAAUCUUGACAAUGACAUAAGAUUUAUUCUGAAAUUAUAGUUGAAUGUAUUUUGGAAGAGAAACUAUUGUUAUUUAUAUCAUUAUAAACAUGUUUUUCAUGGAUACUACAGAGCCUAUAGAAUUAUGAACAUGUUUUUUUCCAGGAUGAUACAGAGCCUUUGAUUGUGAUCAUUUCGCCAAACAAUAAAAAGGUAAACACAAGUAAUAUUUGAAAGCUUUUGUACGUGUUACUGAUAAGCUUUUGUACGUGUUAAUGAUCCCCUUCUUGAUUUUUUUUUUUGCAGAUGGGAACAGAGGCAACGAAUAAGACAUCUGCCUCUCCAAUAGCUCAACCGAGUACUGAGACUCCAGUUUUACUCUAAAUCAGACACAGCAGGUACAUGCUCAAAAUCUUGGAGUUUUCAAGUAAUUUUUGGAAGCUUUUGUACGUGUUCAUGAUUCCCUUCCUGAUUUUCUUUGCAGAUGGGAACAGAGGCAAUGAAUGAGACACCUGCCUCUAUAAUAGCUCAACCGAGUACUGAGACUCUGGUUUUUUACUCCAAAUCAGACGCAAAAUUUUUUACUUUCCAAUAGCUGAACCGAGUACCUACCUUUUGCAGAUGCUAGUGUGUGGUUCGUAUUUCUAUGUGUUGUAUCACAUUUAUGCUCAUGCACAUAUUUCUUAACCACAAAAAAAAUCUGAACAAGCAGUUUAGUGGCACGCAUUCUCAACGAGCAAUUGUCACCAACACACCGCAAUACAACUCUUGACUUGUUAGAAUAGAAAAUCUUGUACUCAAACUUCCACUCUAAAGCCCAUUUCUUCAUCCUAAACAUUAACUCUCCCUUGCUCUUAAAAUAAUUAUUCACCUUAAGAGCGCCAUCUUCUCUCGUGGUUGGUGAAAGUACAAUAUGGACAUGACUAAAAUCCGGAUUAGGAUUAAGAGGAACUGCAGAGAUACCUUGACAAGGAAGAGUCGCAAAAUUCAAUUUGUUUAGGAAGGAUUAGUACAAGAUUAGGAAGGCUAUCAUGAAUAGUAUAAUAAAGAAGAAAAUCAAACAAACACAUAAAGAGAUUUGAAACAAUGUACAUGUUGUUCUCUCUGUACAGUAGAACCAAAAUUUAGAAUAGAAUUCAAAAGAAUUGGAGAAAACCAUGUAUCUCUAGUUUGCUUGUUAGAGCUAGCUGAAUCAUGAAGAACCUGCAAGAUUCAAUGUUUUUAGAAGGUUUAAUACAUAAUUAGGAAAGCUAUCCAGAAUAGUGCAUUUUUAUAUUUGUUGAUAUAAAGCAAAAACCUUUAUACACAACCGACAGAUUCUUUCAAAUACUCUAAUCUUUCUGAUGAAACUUCUUAGUUAGCGAGUGUUUCCAAUGGAAGUUGGGGAACAUCUUCAAUUGUGCUUUUCAACUUUAAAGAAAUCUCAUAGCUCCAGGUAAUGUCUUCCACUUGAAUAAAGAAAUUUUCAGAAACCAUCUUCAACAAAUCUUCAUAUUGAAGAUCUUCUUCUAAAUUAAUAAACGAUGCAGUCCUGUUCUUAUCCACAACAAACUCAUACAAGAACACAUUUUACGUAUUUUGGAUGACUUCAUAAAAACCAAAAAAAAAAUGUUAUAGACGUUGGAUUGUAAAUUUUUGGAUGGAUUUCCAGAAAUAUAUAUUAGUGUAUUUCUGUCUAGCAAAGUUUAAACGAUGUAUAAAACUACAUCAGUUAGUGUAGAAACAUCAAUGAAGUUUUGAGAGUAUCAGAAGCUUCAGCUAUCUUGAAGCAUUCUUAAGAAUUUUAUCAAGAAAAUCAUGUGAUACUAUUAUAAGGCAUAUAUGUUAUCUAAGAUAUCCAUCAAAAUAUUUUAAAGACAAAGUAUUGAUCUCACAUGUGUUCCAUAGAAUAAUAAUGGUCACAAAGAAAAAUGAUUACUUUUUUGGAGCUGAUGAGGGUCUCUCAUUUUUGUAUAUGUUCUGCUGAUACACUUCGUCUCUAAAAAGAACUAAUCUCUCCUCACAAUAGAAUUGUAAUAUCUCUCUUAAGUUAGCUUCACUGAGACACUGACCAGUCGGGUUUCUGGGUUAAAGAUCAGCAUUGCCCUUACCUGCCAUUAACCAUGUCUCUUAACCAAUAAAGAAGCUUCUGCAUCAACAGUUCUACUCACUGUUAUUUCUUGAGAGCGAGGCUGAGCAACAAAAAGCUUCUUCCUUUUUUGGGUUUUCCUUUGCUUAAGUUUUGUAGUUGGUGAAGCCGGAGUAUCUAGCUUCUUUGUUUUCUCAUAUUUUGACUUCAUGUUCUUCUUCUUCUUCUUUUUCAGUUUCAUCUCUGGUAGUUUCCUCUGAAGCUUGUUUCCGGUAGGACCAAGAACUGAUCAGAACUCCCACUCACCGGAAUCGGGACGGAACCGGCAUUGACCUGAUUCUCACCUGAAAAAAUAUGCUUCGAUAUCCACAAACCCAACAAUGAAUCUACUAAGUUUGUUAAUUUCAAAACAAGUUUAGAGAGUGUAGUAUUGAAAAAUCUGCACUUUAACAACACCACUUUAAGGAUCCUUCUAGCAAACCAAACCAAUCUUCUUACAUGUGUCACGAGAAAAACAGUGAUAUAAACAAUGAGAGAAAGUGAUGAAAAUCACAGAGAAUAGACUUGGAACUGUGAAGAUAACAACACCCUUUUGACUUCGGAAAAUCAAGAAAAAGAAUAAGCUUUCUGAUGAAGAGAGAACCUCUGAUUGUAUACUGAAAUUUCGUCACGUCUCCGUUGAGGGACUCGUAGUCUACUAGUUUGAGAGACAUUUUCAGAAUUGACUUUUCACACAAAUAGCAAACACGCUUAUCUCGAUUGCGGAGUGAAGGUGGAGAUGAUUAAAGUGGUGAUGAUGGCGAUGGAGAUGAGCGGCGCCGAAGAUGAUGACGGACGAGAUGAUCAACGCCGGAGAUAAUGACGUCCGAGAUGAUUGACGCCGGAGAUAAUGACGGCCGAGAUGAUCUACGCCGGAGAUGAGGCAAGUUGUCGCCGUCGAUUUUGUGAUUUCAAUUUUUAGAAAAAAAAUAUAAUUAGAGAAAGAAAUGGGUAAAAUGAUAAAUGUCCAUAUUAAAUGAAACAUUUUUGAGGUUUUGGGCCUUAAAAUCUAGAAUGAGAAGAAAAAGUUGGUAUAGAGUUAUCUAAGACCAUUUCUCAAAAUUUUUAACGAAAUUGAAAUUUAGUAAGAGAAUUUUUAUAGAAUUUUUCUUUUUGUAAAGUUACUAAUUUUGUCUUUACGUUUUCUUAUUGACAUCUUGUCUUUGUGCUAAACUUACAAGUUGUGACUUAGAUUGUUAUGUUUUGAUAUCAUCACAACCAAAUAACAUGCCAUGUAUUUCCAUCAUCAUUAUCGUUAUCAUUAUUUUGCCAACAUUAUUAUCAAUUUAUCACUGUUUUGUUAAAUAACGUAUUUCCAUUAUACGGUUCCUUUGUUGUUGAUAUUAUAUAAUAUAAAAGGUCACAUGUAUUACUAUUAUCGAACAUGACAUAAUAUAAGGAUUAUUAGAGCGGAAGCUAAAUAAAAUUUGGCUGGAUAUUGUAAUGGUGCUGCAUCAUGUUUUCUUUUUU